AGACGUAGGGGGCGAGCGUUGCUCGGAAUCACUGGGCGUAAAGCGCGCGCAGGCGGUCUUUUAAGUUGGAUGUUAAAGCCUACGGCUCAACCGUAGAACUGCAUCCAAAACUAUUAGACUAGAGUGUGGGAGAGGAAGAUGGAAUUAGUUGUGUAGGGGUAAAAUCCGUAGAGAUAACUAGGAAUACCAAAAGCGAAGGCAAUCUUCUGGAACACUACUGACGCUGAGGCGCGAAAGCGUGGGGAGCAAACAGGAUUAGAUACCCUAGUAGUCC
rnacentral:rRNA from 1 species